rnacentral:misc_RNA from 1 species
UCCGGUUUGUCACCGGCAGUCUCCUUAGAGUUCCCGCCAUUACGCGCUGGCAACUAAAGACAAGGGUUGCGCUCGUUGCGGGACUUAACCCAACAUGUCACCACACGAGCUGACGACAGCCAUGCAGCACCUGUCUCCACGUGGUAUUGCUACCAAAGCCCUAUCUCUAGGGAUGUCGUGGGAUGUCAAAUCCAGGUAAGGUUCUUCGCGUUGCUUCGAAUUAAACCACAUGAUCCACCGCUUGUGCGGGCCCCCGUCAAUUCCUUUGAGUUUUAGUCUUGCGACCGUACUUCCCAGGCGGGGUACUUAUUGCGUUAGCGCCGGUUCGGCGGGGGUCAAGACCCACCAAACCUAGUACCCAUCGUUUACAGCGUGGACUAC